rnacentral:lncRNA from 1 species
GACAAUGGUGACACGAUGGUGGUGACACAGCGGUGGUGGCACAGUGGUGACAGCGGUGGCACAGCAGUGGUGACAGUGGUGACAAUGAUGGUGACAGCAGCGACACAUUGAUGGUGACAAUGGGGUGACAAUGGCUGUUCCUCAGGCGGUGUCGGGGGUGGCCGUGACGCGGUGGUGGUGGCACGGUGACAUCGAUGGUGACAGCAAUGGUGACACAGCGGUGGUGGCACAGCAAUGGUGACAACAAUGGCCUGCUGAUGGUGACAGCGGUGACACAGCAAUGGUGGCAUGAUGACAGUGAUGGUGACACAGCGGUGGUGGUGGCACAGUGACAGCGAUGGUGACACAGCGGUGGUGGCACAGCCACAGUGGAGGUGACAGUGGCACUGUGGUGACAACAGCCGCGCAGCAAGGUGACAGUGACACUGCCGGGCUGGGGACAGCAGGGACAACGGUGGCAUGGAGCGAGUGACAUCACAGUCCAUGUCACAGCCUGGAGCUGGUGUGUGACAGUGACACAGUGACACAGUGACACAGUGACACAGUGACAGUGACACAGUGACACAGUGACAGUGACACAGUGACAGUGACACAGUGACAGGGACACAGUGACACAGUGACAGUGACACAGUGACACACUGACAGUGACACAGUCACAGUGACAGUGACACAGUGACAGUGACACAGUGACAGUGACACACUGACAAUGUCCCCGUGUCCCCAGGUGACAGAGUACCGUGUCCCUGUCCCCCGUCCCCUGGGCCGCCUGUUGCUGCUGCAGGUGCACAAGGGGCCCUGUGGGGGUCUCCCCGAGAGCUCCUGGUACCUGGAGAGCGUCACCGUGUGGGGACAGCGCGGGGACACCCCCGGGAACACCCCCGGGGACAGUGACGGUGACAGCGACGGUGACAGCGACGGUGACAGUGAUGGUGACAGCGAUGGGGACAGCUGGGACGAGGAGGAGGAGGAGGAGGAGGAUGAAGGUGACAGCGAGGAGGAGGUGGCAGAGGAGGAGGAGGAGGAGGGGACAGGUGACAGCGAGGAGGUGACAGAGGAGGAGGAGCUGGAGGAGGAGCCUGAGGACAGCGCGAGUGACAUCGGCACUGCCAGCACAGGUGACACCGAUGACGUCGCUGACCUGGGGCCCUUCCACUUCCCGUGCUACCGCUGGCUCGAGGGGUACAACACCUGGGAGCUGCCCGAGGGUACAGGUGAGCACACCUGGGACACCUGGGGACACCGGGGGACAGCUGGGGGGACACCGGGUGACAGCUGGGGACACACCUGUGACACACCUGUUCACACCUGUCGAUGUCACCGCAGCCACCACGCCGGCCAUGGAGCGACACCCGCGGCUGCAGCGGCAGCGCCGCCGACACCUGGUGCAACAGCGCCGGCGCUACAGGUGAGGGGAGGGGACAGCUGGGGCUGGCACCUGGGGAGGGGGGGUGACAUCGCCGGGUG